rnacentral:lncRNA from 1 species
AACAGCCUAUAAACCGCCACUCAUUUCCCUGACAAAUUCAGCUGGAUUACUGCACUUGUCUCCUGGCUCAUCUCCCUGCUUCUGCCUGCCGCGCUUCGGUUUAUUCUCAACACAGUCCACUUAAAACAAACUGGAGACGAGGCCACCACUCCUCCAUUCAAGCUUUCACUGGCUGCCAUCUAUUUCUAGGGAGAAAUAAUCUCACUGUCUUCCCAAGAAAGGAUAAAUCUUGGCUUUUCCGGGCAUGGUGGCACAUGCAUGUACUCCCAGCUACUCGGGAGGCUGAGGCAGAAGAAUCACUAGAACCCAGGAGGCGGAGGUUGCAGUGAGCCGAGAUUGUGCCACUGCACUCCAGCCUGGGCAACAGCAGAGAAACUCCAUCUCAAAAACAAACAAACAAAAAAAAUAUUGGCUUUUGACACCCACCCUUCAUAUCACAGUCCGACCAAACCCCAACCCGUUCAUUGUCAGAAC